GAAAUGCGAUAAGUAAUGUGAAUUGCAGAAUUCCGUGAAUCAUUAAAUCUUUGAACGCACAUUGCGCCCUCUGGUAUUCCUAAGGGCAUGCCUGUUUGAGAAUCAGUUUAAUCAUCAAGGCCUCUUUGUAGGGAAAUGGUUGCUUGGCUUAAUCGCCAGAUACCCUUUUUCCGCUGGGAACUUGGACCUGGGACUUGUCGAUAGACUGUCUCUAAUGCCAUCUGUUGCGACUCUAUAGCGAGACUAUACGAAAAGCAUGACCAUUGAACGCAAGUUCUCUGAUUGCUCGUAGUAUCCUUGAACUAUAGACUAGUACAAAAUUAAACACGAAGACUAACCCUCUUUAAGACUUGAUCUCAAAUCAGACAAGACUACCCGCUGAACUUAA
rnacentral:misc_RNA from 1 species